rnacentral:rRNA from 1 species
CUACGGGCGGCUGCAGUGAGGAAUAUUUCACAAUGGGGGGAACCCUGAUGCAGCAACGCCGCGUGGAGGAUGACGCAUUUCGGUGUGUAAACUCCUUUUAUAUGUCAAGAAAAUGACGGUAGCAUAUGAAUAAGCACCGGCUAACUCCGUGCCAGCAGCCGCGGUAAUACGGAGGGUGCAAGCGUUACUCGGAAUCACUGGGCGUAAAGGACGCGUGAGGCGGGUUGGAAAGUCAGGUGUGAAAUCCUACAGCUUAACUGUAGAACUGCACUUGAAAAUUCUAAUCUAGAGUAUGGGAGGGGUAGAUGGAAUUAGUGGUGUAGGGGUAAAAUCCGUAGAUAUCACUAGGAAUACCUAAAGCGAAGGCGAUCUCCUGGAACAUUACUGACGCUAAGGCGUGAAAGCGUGGGGAGCAAACAGGAUUAGAUACCCCCGUAGUC